rnacentral:tRNA from 1 species
GCCCCGAUAGUCUAGUGGUCAAGGACGAGGCCCUUUCGCGGCCUAAACCCGGGUUCGAAUCCCGGUCGGGGCA